AUUUAUAGAACUUUAUUUUUCAUUUCAGAUAUCUCUCUCAUAGAAUCACUUUAUCCCAAAAUCGCUUUGUCAAAAUUGCUUAAUCAAAAUCUCUUCAUGACAUCUCCUCAUCAGUUUCAUUUCAAUCACACUCACAUCUUCAUCACAAUCGCUCCUCUUCGCAAUCCCUUCAUCGAAAUUGUUCUGGUUAACUUCUUCAUCGCAAUCUCAUUCUGUUCCAAUCGCUGAGUAAGAAUUUGGAUUUUUUGGGUUAAUUCUUCUGAUUUGAUGAGGUAAUUUUUGAUGUUUAAGUUAAGGUGAUGUGAUAAUAAAUCCAAUUUAUAACUUGAUAUUUCUAGGUUUAUUUGAUUUGAUUUGAUUUUAAGUUGAUUAUUAACUUUGGUUAAGAAAUUUACUUUUCUAGGUUAAGUUGAUUCUGAUUUGAUGCAGUUGACAUUUUCUAAGUUAAGUUGAUUCUGAUUUUUGAUGUAAUUGAGAUUUUAUCGAAUUCGGUAACCACCGCCAUCAGAGCAUCAAGAAUGCAGCGACAUUGAACUUCCAAUUGCAGUUGAAGCUUGUUCAUUAUUCUUUAGCAAGAUCUGCCAAUGACUUCAAGCGUGAUUGAUGGCUUGCACCAAGAUGGGAACAGUGGCAUCUGAGUCUUGGUGUCGCUAAGCCAAUGAAAUGAGAUACUGCAUUCUUUGUGAAUCAAUGCUUGUUUGAGUCCUUUCUGCCAGGGACUUGUUUUGUAGCCUAGAGUUUUUUGCAGGAUUCAGAAAAAGAGGUACAAGUCAUCUAUUUGGUGAAAGUAUAUGUGAUUUUGGCAUGUCCUGCGUUGGGAAGAUAUAUCAAUAGAUGUUUCCCUAUUCCUACCAUCAAAGUUACUUAUUUCUGCUUUUUAAGCCAGACUGCCAUUAAGGAUUUUGAGGUUGUUAGAAUUUUGACUUAAUUAGUUGAUGAGCUGAACAUUGGCGAUUUGGAGGUAAACUUUUAUAACAUUCCUGCUACAAAAAUUAUUGGUUUUCUGAAUUUGUAGAACCAUUUAGACUGUUUCCCGAGUUCAUGAUUUGAUAUAUCUAUAUCUGUAAUUUUUCAUAGUCUGUCUAUACUUAUUUUGUGAGCAUUAAUUAACAUAGCACAAUAUCAGAAUAUGUAUUCUUCCCUGGAACCAUCGAUCGGAUUAUCAUGGUAUCUGGUGCAAUCAAAUGAAGUACUAAGAGCUGACAGCUAUAGAGCUCAUUAUUUCAAAGUUGCUUAGUGGGGAUGGCUGAACAAAUUCCACACGGUGUUGCUCAAAGCCUCAUUAACGGGUUGGCUUCUGUUGCCUUACGUGAAUUUGGAAGGAUUAAUAAUGUGAAAGAUGAAUUAGAAAGUCUUACGAAGACAGUUGAAUCCAUCAGAGCUGCGCUCCUUGAUGCUGAGAACAAACAAGAGAAAAGUCUUUGUGUACAAAACUGGGUUACAAGGCUCAAAGAUGUGCUUGUUGCUGCAGAUGAUUUGAUAGAUGAAUUUCUCCUUGAUACUUUUGGUGCUUUUAACUACAGUUUGUCUAUAUUAGGAAUUGAUUUCAAUUUAUGUAUAGUGAUCUUAAUAUUAAUAAGAAUUUGAGAUUGAAUCAAUUGUUUGUGUUUUACUGAUUGA